GAAAAAACGAAAGGUCAAACUCUAUUGCACAUUCUAUAAAUCCAAAUUAACUCAAUUGCCAGUAUCCUGCAUUUGAACACAACUUACAGAGAAGUUGCAUCAGAAAUUAAACAUCCCUACAUUUAGCUUACAGCAAAAUGGGCAUGUAUUUAUUGAUUUAACCAUGUUCUUCGAAAAUCAACAGAAAAUUUACUUCCUCCACCCUUAAUGCAGGUAACAAAAAUG
rnacentral:misc_RNA from 1 species